GAUUAACGCUGGCGGCGUGCAUAACACAUGCAAGUCGAACGAUGAAACUUAACUGAUUUCUUCGGAAUGAUUUUAAGUGGAUUAGUGGCGGACGGGUGAGUAACGCGUGAGUAACCUGCCUUGGAGAAGGGGAUAGCCUUUGGAAACGAAGAAUAAUACCCUAUGAUAUGAUAAUAUCUCAUGAUAUUAUCAUCAAAGAUUUAUCGCUCUAAGAUGGACUUGCGUCUGAUUAGUUAGUUGGUGAGGUAACAGCUCACCAAGGCAGCGAUCAGUAGCCGGCUUGAGGGAGUUGAGCGCCACAUUGGGACUGAGACACGGCCCAGACUCCUACGGGAGGGAGCAGUGGGGAAUUGUGCACAAUGGGGGAAACCGUGCUGCAGCGACGCCGCGUGAUGUAGAAGGCCUACGGGUUGUAAAAAUCUUUUGUAUGGGAAGAAAAUAACAGUCCCAGACGAAUAAGGACCGGCUAAUUACGU
rnacentral:rRNA from 1 species